rnacentral:misc_RNA from 1 species
AACAAGGCGUACCUGCGGACCUGCGGAAGGAUCAUUACAGAGUUGCAAAACUCCCUAAACCAUUGUGAACGUUACCUAAACCGUUGCUUCGGCGGGCGGCCCGGGUCCUUCCCGGCGCCCCUCGGCCCUCGCGGGCGCCCGCCGGAGGUAAACCAAACUAUUGCAUUGUAUGGCCUCUCUGAGUCUUCUGUACUGAAUAAGUCAAAACUUUCAACAACGGAUCUCAGAUCGGAAGAGCAC